UACGUAGGUGGCAAACGUUGUCCGGAUUCACUGGGCGUAAAGCGCGCGCAGGCGGAUUGGUCAGUCUGGGGUGAAAUCUCUCGGCUCAACUGAGAGAGGUCCCUGGAUACUGCCAGUCUUGAGGGGCUCAGAGGAGAGUGGAAUUCCGCGUGUAGUGGUGGAAUGCGUAGAUACGCGGAGGAACACCAGUGGCGAAAGCGGCUCUCUGGGGGCCACCUGACGCUGAGGCGCGAAAGCGUGGGGAGCGAACCGG
rnacentral:rRNA from 1 species